rnacentral:rRNA from 1 species
UUAAAUUGAAGAGUUUGAUCAUGGCUCAGAUUGAACGCUGGCGGCAGGCCUAACACAUGCAAGUCGAACGGUAACAGGAAGCAGCUUGCUGCUUCGCUGACGAGUGGCGGACGGGAGAGUAAUGUCUGGGAAACUGACUGAUGGAGGGGAAUAACUACUGGAAACGGUAGCUAAUA